UACAUCUAUACACUACGGUUGUGUUUCUUCUAUUUCUAGGUUAAUCAAUGGAUCAUAUUUGUAGGUAUAUCUAUGCUUGAUACACAAUUGUAGUCCUCUGUUUUUAUACCAAUGUAUCGUGUAGUUGCUUUCUGUUUUUCUUUUAUUCUUUUCUUUUUUUCAAGUGGCCUUCUAUAAAGUCUGUUGUUAUAGUUAAAGAGAAGUAGAAAAGGAUUCGAGGAGAAGAAGAAAUUUAGAAUUAGAGAUUACAGAAAAGAGAUACUUCAUUAAUUACUUUAAUCCCUAAAUCCCUAAUUUCAAACCCCUCUCUUCCCUCGAUCCCCAAUUCUCCAACAACAAUCCCUAACCCUUGACCUCCUCUUCUCCCAAUUUCUUCGUCAUUUCCACGCUCUUCUCCUCCUACUAUAACAAUACCCGCCGCUGGAAUCAAUCUUUGACCCCAAGGAUCAAAGCCUGGAAACUGCCCUCGCAAAACAGUAUAAUCUUCUCAUGUAUCAUUGGUUUCAUCAAGGUUCUUCCAUCGCACCAGCAACUGCGUAACAGGAGGAGUCGUUGAAGAGACUGCCGAGGGCCUGAUGUGUUUUUUUAAAAGACUCACAUGAAAGACUGGAUGUAGAUGUGAUGAUUCAGGGCCAAGGAAGUCUGUCGAUAUAAUUGCAACUUCAGACAUUGACGGCAGGAUUUGCAAUGAUUGGUCGAAUGGGAAGGAAAAUUAGUCAUUUUCAGAGUUAAUAACAUCACUAAACCAGUCAAACAUCCACCUUAGCAGUCAACAAUUUCCGCAUAUGGAGGCAGAUUUUGAGUACUUAAGAUGCGGAGACUGCAAAAUUGUAACCGACUUUAAAGCAUGAAGGCCCUCCUCUACAUAGGGACUUAAA